GCCGGGCGUGGUGGCUCAUGCCUAUAAUCCCAGCUACUCAGGAGGCUGAGGCAGGAGAAUCACUUGAACCUGGGAGCUGGAGAUUGCAGUGAGCCGAGAUCGCGCCACAGUACUCCAGCCUGGGUGACAGAGUGAGACUCUGUCUCAA
rnacentral:SRP_RNA from 1 species